GGGGAUGACCGGCUUCGAUAGGAAGCUGAAACUUAAAAUUGCUGAUCGAGUAUUCUAAAACCUCGUAAAACUUUUAGAAUCAAACUUAAGUGCCAAAACACUUAUUGGUAAAGUUAAGUCUGCAGUAGCGCAAGCUUUUGCAGUUCCUAGCUUUGCUGCCGCCGUAGCCUAAUAUUACUCGGCCACAAGCCAAGUUGAAGGUUCACGACCCAUCAGACCGAUAACUCCUAAUAGUCGGUUAUCUGGUGUCAUUAAUUAGGAUAGGUGGAUUCUCCCGGCUCCGAGCUUUCACCGAAAAGACCGAGCAUAAGAUCUUUGUAUUCUUGUUUGUUCACUAACCAAAGAUCCGAAAAACAACGAACAGACUACAUCAGUAGAUAAUUUUAAGGUUUUCUUUCUAGACGCGGGUUCAAUUCCCGCCAUCUCCACCC
rnacentral:tmRNA from 1 species